rnacentral:rRNA from 1 species
GGGAAACCCAGCAUGAGUUAUGUCAUGUUAUCGAUAUGUGAAUACAUAGCAUAUCAGAAGGCACACCCGGAGAACUGAAACAUCUUAGUACCCGGAGGAAGAGAAAGAAAAUUCGAUUCCCUUAGUAGCGGCGAGCGAAACGGGAAGAGCCCAAACCAACAAGCUUGCUUGUUGGGGUUGUAGGACACUCUAUACGGAGUUACAAAGGACGACAUUAGACGAAUCAUCUGGAAAGAUGAAUCAAAGAAGGUAAUAAUCCUGUAGUCGAAAAUGUUGUCUCUCUUGAGUGGAUCCUGAGUACGACGGAGCACGUGAAAUUCCGUCGGAAUCUGGGAGGACCAUCUCCUAAGGCUAAAUACUCUCUAGUGACCGAUAGUGAACCAGUACCGUGAGGGAAAGGUGAAAAGCACCCCGGAAGGGGAGUGAAAUAGAACCUGAAACCGUGUGCUUACAAGUAGUCAGAGCCCGUUAAUGGGUGAUGGCGUGCCUUUUGUAGAAUGAACCGGCGAGUUACGAUUUGAUGCAAGGUUAAGCAGUAAAUGUGGAGCCGUAGCGAAAGCGAGUCUGAAUAGGGCGUUUAGUAUUUGGUCGUAGACCCGAAACCAGGUGAUCUACCCUUGGUCAGGUUGAAGUUCAGGUAACACUGAAUGGAGGACCGAACCGACUUACGUUGAAAAGUGAGCGGAUGAACUGAGGGUAGCGGAGAAAUUCCAAUCGAACCUGGAGAUAGCUGGUUCUCUCCGAAAUAGCUUUAGGGCUAGCCUCAAGUGAUGAUUAUUGGAGGUAGAGCACUGUUUGGACGAGGGGCCCCUCUCGGGUUACCGAAUUCAGACAAACUCCGAAUGCCAAUUAAUUUAACUUGGGAGUCAGAACAUGGGUGAUAAGGUCCGUGUUCGAAAGGGAAACAGCCCAGACCACCAGCUAAGGUCCCAAAAUAUAUGUUAAGUGGAAAAGGAUGUGGCGUUGCCCAGACAACUAGGAUGUUGGCUUAGAAGCAGCCAUCAUUUAAAGAGUGCGUAAUAGCUCACUAGUCGAGUGACACUGCGCCGAAAAUGUACCGGGGCUAAACAUAUUACCGAAGCUGUGGAUUGUCCUUUGGACAAUGGUAGGAGAGCGUUCUAAGGGCGUUGAAGCAUGAUCGCAAGGACAUGUGGAGCGCUUAGAAGUGAGAAUGCCGGUGUGAGUAGCGAAAGACGGGUGAGAAUCCCGUCCACCGAUUGACUAAGGUUUCCAGAGGAAGGCUCGUCCGCUCUGGGUUAGUCGGGUCCUAAGCUGAGGCCGACAGGCGUAGGCGAUGGAUAACAGGUUGAUAUUCCUGUACCACCUAUAAUCGUUUUAAUCGAUGGGGGGACGCAGUAGGAUAGGCGAAGCGUGCGAUUGGAUUGCACGUCUAAGCAGUAAGGCUGAGUAUUAGGCAAAUCCGGUACUCGUUAAGGCUGAGCUGUGAUGGGGAGAAGACAUUGUGUCUUCGAGUCGUUGAUUUCACACUGCCGAGAAAAGCCUCUAGAUAGAAAAUAGGUGCCCGUACCGCAAACCGACACAGGUAGUCAAGAUGAGAAUUCUAAGGUGAGCGAGCGAACUCUCGUUAAGGAACUCGGCAAAAUGACCCCGUAACUUCGGGAGAAGGGGUGCUCUUUAGGGUUAACGCCCAGAAGAGCCGCAGUGAAUAGGCCCAAGCGACUGUUUAUCAAAAACACAGGUCUCUGCUAAACCGUAAGGUGAUGUAUAGGGGCUGACGCCUGCCCGGUGCUGGAAGGUUAAGAGGAGUGGUUAGCUUCUGCGAAGCUACGAAUCGAAGCCCCAGUAAACGGCGGCCGUAACUAUAACGGUCCUAAGGUAGCGAAAUUCCUUGUCGGGUAAGUUCCGACCCGCACGAAAGGCGUAACGAUUUGGGCACUGUCUCAACGAGAGACUCGGUGAAAUCAUAGUACCUGUGAAGAUGCAGGUUACCCGCGACAGGACGGAAAGACCCCGUGGAGCUUUACUGUAGCCUGAUAUUGAAAUUCGGCACAGCUUGUACAGGAUAGGUAGGAGCCUUUGAAACGUGAGCGCUAGCUUACGUGGAGGCGCUGGUGGGAUACUACCCUAGCUGUGUUGGCUUUCUAACCCGCACCACUUAUCGUGGUGGGAGACAGUGUCAGGCGGGCAGUUUGACUGGGGCGGUCGCCUCCUAAAAGGUAACGGAGGCGCUCAAAGGUUCCCUCAGAAUGGUUGGAAAUCAUUCAUAGAGUGUAAAGGCAUAAGGGAGCUUGACUGCGAGACCUACAAGUCGAGCAGGGUCGAAAGACGGACUUAGUGAUCCGGUGGUUCCGCAUGGAAGGGCCAUCGCUCAACGGAUAAAAGCUACCCCGGGGAUAACAGGCUUAUCUCCCCCAAGAGUUCACAUCGACGGGGAGGUUUGGCACCUCGAUGUCGGCUCAUCGCAUCCUGGGGCUGUAGUCGGUCCCAAGGGUUGGGCUGUUCGCCCAUUAAAGCGGUACGCGAGCUGGGUUCAGAACGUCGUGAGACAGUUCGGUCCCUAUCCGUCGUGGGCGUAGGAAAUUUGAGAGGAGCUGUCCUUAGUACGAGAGGACCGGGAUGGACAUACCUCUGGUGUACCAGUUGUCGUGCCAACGGCAUAGCUGGGUAGCUAUGUGUGGACGGGAUAAGUGCUGAAAGCAUCUAAGCAUGAAGCCCCCCUCAAGAUGAGAUUUCCCAACUUCGGUUAUAAGAUCCCUCAAAGAUGAUGAGGUUAAUAGGUUCGAGGUGGAAGCAUGGUGACAUGUGGAGCUGACGAAUACUAAUCGAUCGAAGACUUAAUCAA